rnacentral:rRNA from 1 species
CUUCCCGUAAGGGUACCUGCGGAAGGAUCA